rnacentral:ncRNA from 1 species
AAAAAAGUUAUGUUUUAUAAAAUUUAUUAUAAAUUUAUUUUACAUAUAAAUUUUAGUAUAUAAUUUUAAUUAUUUUAAUAAUAAUUAAAAUUAAUUUAUAGUAAUUAAAAUUAAAAAUUUAAGAAAUUAAGAUUUAGUAAUAUAAAAAUUAAUAACUAAUUUUGUGCCAGCAGUUGCGGUUAUACAAAAAUUAAAUUAAAUUAUUUCAGUAUAUAAUAAAUAAAAUAAAAUAAAAUAAAUAUUAAAUUAUUGGGUGAAAUUUUAAUUUAAUUAAAUUUUAAAUUAAUUUUAUGAUUUAAUAAAUUUUAUAAUAAACUAGGAUUAGAUACCCUAUUAUUAAAAAUUUAAUUUAUAAUACUAAAAUAGUAGAUAAAAAAUAUUGAAACUUAAAUAAUAUGGCGGUAUUUUAGUUCAUUUAGAGGAAUCUGUCUAAUAAUUGAUAAUCCACGAAUAAAUUUACUUAAUUUAAAAUUUUAUAUAUCGUUGUUAAAAAAAUAUUUUAUAAUAAAAAUAAUAUUUAAAAAUUAAAAUAAAAAAUUAAUUCAGAUCAAGAUGUAGAAUAUAAUUAAGAAUAUGAUGGAUUACAAUAAAAUAAUUUAAUAUGAAUAAUUUAAUUUUAAAAUUAAUUUGAAAGUGGAUUUAAAUGUAAUUUUAAUUAAUUUAUUAAAAUGAUUAAAAAUUGAAAUAUGUACAUAUUGCCCGUCACUUUCAUUUGAAAAUUGGAAUAAGUCGUAACAAAGUAGAGGUACUGGAAAGUGUUUCUAGAAUGAA